rnacentral:rRNA from 1 species
CAAAUGAAUUGACGGGUCCCGCACAAGCAGCGGAGCGUGUGGUUUAAUUCGAUGCUACGCGAAGAACCUUACCUGGGUUUGACAUCCUUUGACCGCCCUGGAAACAGGGUUUAUCCGAUUCGUCGGAACAGAGUGACAGGUGCUGCAUGGCUGUCGUCAGCUCGUGUCGUGAGAUGUUGGGUUAAGUCCCGCAACGAGCGCAACCCUUGUCUCUAGUUGCCAGUAUUAAGUUAGGGACUCUAGAGAGACUGCCUCGGUUAACGGGGAGGAAGGUGGGGAUGACGUCAAGUCCUCAUGGCCUUUAUACCCAGGGCUACACACGUGCUACAAUGGGCUGCACAAAGGGUCGCUAGCUCGCGAGAGUGCGCUAAUCCCAAAAAGCAGUUCUCAGUUCGGAUUGGAGUCUGCAACUCGACUCCAUGAAGUUGGAAUCGCUAGUAAUCGUGGAUCAGCACGCCACGGUGAAUACGUUCCCGGGCCUU